rnacentral:rRNA from 1 species
AUUGAACGCUGGCGGCAGGCCUAACACAUGCAAGUCGAGCGGAUGAAGGGAGCUUGCUCCUGGAUUCAGCGGCGGACGGGUGAGUAAUGCCUAGGAAUCUGCCUGGUAGUGGGGGAUAACGUCCGGAAACGGGCGCUAAUACCGCAUACGUCCUGAGGGAGAAAGUGGGGGAUCUUCGGACCUCACGCUAUCAGAUGAGCCUAGGUCGGAUUAGCUAGUUGGUGGGGUAAAGGCCUACCAAGGCGACGAUCCGUAACUGGUCUGAGAGGAUGAUCAGUCAAACUGGAACUGAGACCCGGUCCAGACUCCUACGGGGGGCAGCAGGGGGGAAUUUUGGACAAUGGGCGAAAGCCUGAUCCAGCCAUGCCGGGGGGGGGAAGAAGGUCUUCGGUUUGUAAAGCCAUUUAAGUUGGGGGGAAGGGCAGUAAGUUAAUCCCUUGCUUUUUUGACGUUACCAACAGAAUAAACACCGGCUAACUUCGU